rnacentral:rRNA from 1 species
GAUGAACGCUGGCGGCGUGCCUAAUACAUGCAAGUCGAGCGAACAGACGAGGAGCUUGCUCCUCUGACGUUAGCGGCGGACGGGUGAGUAACACGUGGAUAACCUACCUAUAAGACUGGGAUAACUUCGGGAAACCGGAGCUAAUACCGGAUAAUAUAUUGAACCGCAUGGUUCAAUAGUGAAAGACGGUUUUGCUGUCACUUAUAGAUGGAUCCGCGCCGCAUUAGCUAGUUGGUAAGGUAACGGCUUACCAAGGCAACGAUGCGUAGCCGACCUGAGAGGGUGAUCGGCCACACUGGAGCUGGGACGCGGUCCAGACUCCUACGGGAGGCAGCAGUAGGGAAUCUGCCGCAAUGGGCGAAAGCCUGACGGAGCAACGCCGCGUGAGUGAUGAAGGUCUUCGGAUCGUAAAACUCUGUUAUUAGGGAAGAACAAAUGUGUAAGUAACUAUGCACGUCUUGACGGUACCUAAUCAGAAAGCCACGGCUAACUACGUG